UCAAAUUUUGGCGAAUCUAUU
rnacentral:piRNA from 1 species